CAGCCGCCGCGGUAAUACGAAGGGUGCAGGCGUUAAUCGGAAUUACUGGGCGUAAAGCGUGCGUAGGCGGUUUGUUAAGUCUGCUGUGAAAUCCCCGGGCUCAACCUGGGAAUGGCAGUGGAUACUGGCAAGCUAGAGUGUGUCAGAGGAUGGUGGAAUUCCCGGUGUAGCGGUGAAAUGCGUAGAGAUCGGGAGGAACAUCAGUGGCGAAGGCGGCCAUCUGGGACAACACUGACGCUGAGGCACGAAAGCGUGGGGAGCAAACAGGAUUAGAUACCCCAGUAGUCCCUGUCUCUUAUAU
rnacentral:rRNA from 1 species